UCGAGGGAUAAGCCUUCGGGCUGAAACCGGCGCACGGGUGCGUAACGCGUAUACAAUCUGCCUUUCACAUAGGGAUAGCCCGAAGAAAUUUGGAUUAAUACCUAAUGGUAUAUAGGAGCGGCAUCGUUUUUAUAUUAAAGCUACGGUGGUGAAAGAUGAGUAUGCGUUCUAUUAGCUAGUUGGAGAGGUAACGGCUCCCCAAGGCGACGAUAGAUAGGGGUUCUGAGAGGGAUGUCCCCCACACUGGUACUGAGAUACGGACCAGACUCCUACGGGAGGCAGCAGUGAGGAAUAUUGGACAAUGGUCGGAAGACUGAUCCAGCCAUGCCGCGUGCAGGAUGAAGGUCCUAUGGAUUGUAAACUGCUUUUGUAAGGGAAGAAUAAGGAGUACGUGUACUUUGAUGACGGUACCUUACGAAUAAGCAUCGGCUAACUCCGUGCCAGCAGCCGCGGUAAUACGGAGGAUGCGAGCGUUAUCCGGAAUCAUUGGGUUUAAAGGGUCCGUAGGCGGGCUGAUAAGUCAGAGGUGAAAUCGUUCAGCUCAACUGAGCAACUGCCUUUGAAACUGUCAGUCUUGAAUGAUUGUGAAGUAGUUGGAAUGUGUAGUGUAGCGGUGAAAUGCUUAGAUAUUACACAGAACACCGAUAGCGAAGGCAUAUUACUAACAAUUUAUUGACGCUGAUGGACGAAAGCGUGGGGAGCGAACAGGAUU
rnacentral:rRNA from 1 species